rnacentral:rRNA from 1 species
UACGUAGGUGGCGAGCGUUGUCCGGAAUCAUUGGGCGUAAAGAGCGCGUAGGUGGUUUGUCAGGUCUGAUGUGAAAUCCUGGGGCUCAACUCCAGAACUGCAUCGGAAACCGGCUUACUAGAGUCUGGGAGAGGAGAGUGGAAUUCCUGGUGUAGCGGUGAAAUGCGUAGAUAUCAGGAGGAACACCAGUAGCGAAGGCGGCUCUCUGGAACAGUACUGACGCUGAGGCGCGAAAGCUAGGGGAGCGAACAGGAUUAGAUACCCUGGUAGUCCUAGCCGUAAACGAUGGACACUAGGUGUCGGGGGUGUCGACUCCCCCGGUGCCGAAGCUAACGCAUUAAGUGUCCCGCCUGGGGAGUACGACCGCAAGGUUA